AAGAACUUCAAGAAGGAGCUUUUGGGAGACAAUGGAAUUAAGACGACCCCCGGCAAGUUAAGGCCCCUAUGCACUGACCACUCAGAAUAGUCUACAUUUACCCAUCUCUCCAGCAGAAAGGUGUCGCUAUGUGACUAAUUUUCACCAAUAGAAUAUGAGCAAAAGUGAUACGUGUAACUUUCAGUAAGUAUCCUUAAAGGGGAGGAGAUGUGUUCUUUUCUUCCUCCUUUCUGAUGGAUGGAAUGUGAAUGAAACAGCUGGAGCUCCAGUAACUAUCUUAGACUAUAAAGUGACUUCAGAAAAGAACAGAAUCCAUGCAGAGAAGUGCAACAACAUGACACCAUGACAGACAGACCAUACCAGUCCUAGACUACUUUGGGAAUUCCUGACGUUGAGCGAAAUACACUUCUAUGAUGUUUAAA